UCCAUCAUGGCCUUGAGGCUGGUGGUGUUGUCGUCCAUGGCCGCCAGCAACUGCCGGGUCUGGACGGAGGGCUUGGACGGUGCCGUCUCGCACCCCUGCCAGAUCGAACCCCGCCGGGGAUUUUGCGUGAUCUCGCCGGAGCAAGUCACACCCGAGGCGGUGGAUGUUACCGAUCCAAAUCAGGAGGCAGCAGCGAAAAAAAAUUUGGGGCAGGAUCGGAGGCUCUGAUUACCAAUUGUAACGCCCCGAUCUGUGUCGCAGGCGG